UCCGGUAUGGUGUAACGGCUAACAUUACCGCCUUUCAUUCCUUUGUCGUAAAAGACCACCGCGGUAGCUCGGGGUUCGAUUCCCCGUACCGGAA